ensembl:lncRNA
AGCGGUUUCUCUACCCUGAAGAUGAUGUAGACACAAACACAAGGAAGAUGAAGGGGCGAGCGGCUGCGCUCCAUUUCUCUUCAUCGGAGGACAUCUCAAUGACGUACGACUAGAGAAGAGGGAUACGGAGGGAGGGGAGAGAGAUUGAGGUGAGCUUUGAGACGAGGAAUGACAAGGCAGAUGACAGGUACAUUUCAAGAAAAAGUGGCAAUAAGUGAGGGGGGAAACAGGGUCUGGAAAUGCCGCAAGUUGGAUUCAAGCCCAUGUAACCCACAUAAGCACCACAGCUGAGCCCACAUAGAUGAGGUGAAGCGGGUGCCACGUGAUACAUGACAUUAUUAAACAAACUCGGAGAUGGUACCCAAACACCACACUCUCGGCGCACAGGGGACAGCAGCUGUCUGUUCAGGAGGGGAUGCAGAGUUGUUUAUAUGCAGGACCUGGACAAGUAAGUGUCUCAAUGUCUCCACACUCGGAAUAGAACCACUCUCAAAUAUCAAGCGGGCCGUAGGUCAGAAGCGGCCCAUGACGCUCCACUGACCUCAGCGGAGGAGAGAAACUCCUACAGCAGAGAAAAGCAGCUUUCAGGCGCUAUGAGACAGAGGUUUUUGGCUCUCUGACUUCGUAUCAUUUUAAGCUGCAAAGAGGAUUACAUGCACAAAUCCAAACAAAGCAACAGACAAAUAGUGAGGUGCGAUGUUUCAACUGCCAGAGAGGAGCUAUCGGAAA